CUACGGAGUGCAGCAGUGAGGAAUAUUGCACAAUGGGGGGAACCCUGAUGCAGCAACGCCGCGUGGAGGAUGACGCAUUUCGGUGUGUAAACUCCUUUUAUAUGUCAAGAAAAUGACGGUAGCAUAUGAAUAAGCACCGGCUAACUCCGUGCCAGCAGCCGCGGUAAUACGGAGGGUGCAAGCGUUACUCGGAAUCACUGGGCGUAAAGGACGCGUAGGCGGGUUGGAAAGUCAGGUGCGAAAUCCUACAGCUUAACUGUAGAACUGCACUUGAAACUUCUAAUCUAGAGUAUGGGAGGGGGAGAUGGAAUUAGUGGUGUAGGGGUAAAAUCCGUAGAUAUCACUAGGAAUACCUAAAGCGAAGGCGAUCUCCUGGAACAUUACUGACGCUAAGGCGUGAAAGCGUGGGGAGCAAACAGGAUUAGAUACCCUCGUAGUC
rnacentral:rRNA from 1 species